AAAUCAACCAGGUCUGACAAAGUUUGAAGCGUCUUCCGAGAGUUCGAGAGUUCGUGGGUAACAACAAAUCUUGAAAUACGGCAGCAGCAAGUUACACCUCGUGAUGGAAGACCCCAUGCUAAAGAAUACCACGGGAAACAGCCUUGAAGGCGAUGAAGAGGGGAGGAGCACGAACUCGAAAAUCUGAUGAUGUAUGGAUAGGAGAGUGAUAGUUUUGCAGGAGGGGUCAAUUGUUAUUAAUUAAAAUAAAAUAUCUGAUUUAUUUAUCGACACACGAAUUAGUAGUUUCUGCAUACAUCAGGAGCAGUGAAUAAGUGAGACGGAAAGUGUGGUGUUGCUCGUGUCCGUACACCGAAGAAGAGGCAGCAACCAAGAAAGUCGCUGCACUUCAAAGACACGCCAACGCUGCUGCCCUCGCAGCUACCGCUGCUGCGAAAGCCAUUGACGCCACAAUUGAUUCUGCCAGCGUUAUUAAGCCACCAUUCGAUUCAGGAUUCGCCACAGGAAUCAAGAUCCCAUUUCCACCUAAUGAUGAUGCACACAUGACUUAGAUUAUUUUUUUGCGUGUUAAUGUAAUUCUUGGUAUCGACAUUCUUUUUCU